UGGGGCUGUGCAGGUUUGGAGACCAAGCAGAGGAGUUUGUACUGCCUGCGUGCAGGCUGUGAUGGAGGCUGCCACCAAGAUGGGAUGGCCUGGGCAAGGAGUCUGGGGCUAGAAUAAAAGAAGACUGAGGAAAACUGAGCAGAAAACCAGCUCGUGGGCUUGGUAAGGAGAGGAUCCUCUGAGAGCUUCCCUUCUAGAGCAGCUGUUGGUGUCCCAGAGCUCCUUCAGCCACCAGCACAGUGCAGCACCAACCAGGUCCUGCAUACCUCUCCUGCCAGCCAGCCAUCAGGCAGGGACAUUGUGAGGCCCAGGGAUGGCAGGAGCCCAGGAACUGCACAAGGCCCAAAGAGAGCACAAAGCCUAGGUGACCACAAGAGACCCAGGGGACAGCAUGAGGCCCAGAGGCCCUCUCAGAGUCCACGUAGGGAGGACAGCUCAUUGCUGCCAGCUGUUAGCAGAGUUGGCAGAGCCCCUCAGGAACACAGGCCUUUUAACCAGAAAGAUCUUUCCACUUUGUAACAGAGCUUUGUGGUCUGCAGUUAGUCUCCACAAAUGGCUCCAAAGAUCUGCCAUGUAUCUAGUGUUGACAGAUGCCACACUCUGAUGUGAAGUUCCGUACCUGAAGCCGCCCUCUGAUCACCAGCACUGAAGCCUAGGGCUCCGUUCUACAGGCUUUGGGGGAAUUUGUCAUCACACCCACAUAAAAUCCCAAGAUGUCAGAGGAACAAAAGGACACAAACUGCGAGUGAGUUCUCAUGCCUCCAUUCCAAGCAUGCAGUUAGCAUUCACAUUUCUGGAUCUGAAAGCUCCCUGGC
rnacentral:lncRNA from 1 species